CUGUGUCUUGUUUGUAAUCAGCCCGUGUGUGUGUGUCUCUGUCAGUCCCAUGUUUCACCUGUGUCUCACCUGUUACUCACCUGUGUUAUUUCCUGAGCCUCCCAGUGUCUCCCUGUGACUUUUUAACUACAGUCACCGAUUUCUACCACUUUAAUCUUCACCAGCCGAUAUGAAAAUCAGCCUGUAACCAAAUGUGGCAGGAGGCAGCUUCAAGUCCCACAAGGUCGAGACGGGAAGGAAAAAAAAAAUCAGGAGGCCGAGCGGACGGCAUCUCCUGGACCUCCCUUCUGGUCUGCUCGGUGGACUGGAUCGGCCCCAGCUGGUGCUGCUGCUGGUUGACCCAGUUGGGGGUGAAGCCCCCGUCGUCCUGUGACAGACUGGUGGCAGCCGGAGACGACAAGGCUGCAGACGAGUGAUAACAGUCAGACUAAACAACAAGCGCACUGUUCGAAAGCUAUAGUCUGCAGUGAAUGGGACUCCAGCCUGUCUGAUGUAAGAGUCGCAGCAUGUACCUUGUAGCAGCGGUACUUGUAUAGCAGCACCAGCACCAGAGUCAUGACGAUGAUCACAGUGAUCAUGAUGG